rnacentral:rRNA from 1 species
AACGAACGCUGGCGGCAGGCUUAACACAUGCAAGUCGAACGGGUGUCGCAAGGCAUCAGUGGCAGACGGGUGAGUAACACGUGGGAACCUUCCUCGGGGUACGGAACAACGCAGGGAAACUUGCGCUAAUACCGUAUACGUCCGUGAGGAGAAAGAUUUAUCGCCCUGAGACGGCCCGCGUCGGAUUAGCUAGUUGGUGGGGUAACGGCCUACCAAGGCGACGAUCCGUAGCUGAUCUUAGAGGAGAUCAGCCACACUGGGACUGAGACACGGCCCAGACUCCUACGGGAGGCAGCAGUGGGGAAUCUUGGACAAUGGGCGCAAGCCUGAUCCAGCCAUGCCGCGUGAGUGAAGAAGGUCUUCGGAUUGUAAAGCUUCUUUUUACCAGGGACGAUAAUGACGGUACCUGGAG